CAAAUCUGUCAACGUCAGAUGUGGCCAAUAUGAUGAUUCAGGCCUUUCUUUGGAAGCUGGGAACUUCCAGAUUCAAGGCUCCAGAAAGUCCAAGAUUCAAGGCACCAGCAGGUUUGGUUGUCUGGUGAGGGCUGCAUCCUCCAGAGAGGAGGAACUUCAUGUUUUCUCAUGGCAUACGGACAGGAGAGCAAGCUAGUGGAAUGUUGCGUGGCACCUCUUUCAUAAGGUUCUUACUUCCAGUAAGGAGAGAGAGGAGCCUUCACAGACUAAUCACCUCUUAAACGCCCCAUUCUUUAUUACUAUCACAUUGACAAUACUGGAAUUUUGGAGGGAAUACAUUCAAACCACAGAAAAUACAUCAUACUGAAUUGUUCCACCAAUGUACAUUGUUUAACUAUCUUUACAAAUUAAGAAAAAUUAAAUAUUCAGAAUUCUAG
rnacentral:lncRNA from 1 species